CAACUUACCUGGCAGGGUAGAGACCGCGGUCACGAAGGGGGUUCUCCCAGAGUGAAGCUUCUUCAUCGCACUCUAGUAAGAGUUGUUGAUCCCUGUGAUUUCCUCAAUGUGGGAAACUGUUUGUACUAGA
ensembl:snRNA U1 U1 spliceosomal RNA